UGUUGGGAUCACAGCUCACUGCAACCUCCAACUCCUCGGCUCAAGUGACCCUCCCGCCUUGGUCUCCCACACCUCUGCGAAUACAGAUGUGAGCCUCUGUGCAUGGCCCAGCCACUCCUUUUUAAUGUGAGAAGAUGAAGAAAGACAAAUUCCACACUGAGAACCAGCCCAGCAUAUAUCACUGCUCAACACCAUAUCAGCAGUUGCUCUAUUUUAAAUGUGGUGUGCCCAUGGCUACAUGAUGCAUUUUGCCUCAAGAUGGAAUCUAGAAAGAAAAACUUCAGUGCUCUUGUAGGGAAUCUGAAGCUGCAGACCCCAAAAAUGCUGGGCCCCAUUUAGGCCUCAUGAGAAAGUUGGUCCGAGAGGAUUCGGUGAAAACAGAAACAUCAGCUGAGACAAAGCUGGAGAGACAGGGUCAAGGAAGCUACAGGAAGCCUGUGUGUCUGCCUCUGUGGGUGGGAGAAGGGGACAAGCUGACAAGUAAGAAGACAAAGGAGGAGGUACCACACAAGCCAACCAACCAAGAAUCCAAGACAAGUGGCCAUUGUCUCAAUGAGUACUAAUUAUUAGUGGAAGCAGAGCAUACUGUUCGUCAGCGAACUAAAGAGAGAAUGACAUUGAUUGUCAAGAAAAACACAAGAAUUCAAGUAAGAAAAUGAGAGGUCCUGACCAAGCAGGGACUUUGAAAGCAAGUAGAGCUCCUGUCUUUAAUGCAAGAAGGUAAUAUUAUAUCAAUAUUAAAGAAAAUUCAACUAAGAGACAAUGCAUGUAAGUAGCUUUCAUAAGAUCCCAAUAACUCUCUUCAAACUCUGACUUGGUCGAUAUGAAUGGAGAGGGAGUCCAUGUCCACACACUACAGGUUUUCAUUUAAGUGAAAGUCCACAGAAGCAUGGAUCUGCAGCAUGAUUUAAGUCUCCUGAUUUGCAGAGGAGUUCUGAUGUGUUUUAUUACAUGUCAAAAUUGCAUAGAAUGAGACAUAAGACUAAGGUUUCUUGAUUUUCAUUUGGGCGCUUUUCUCCUUACUCCAUACAAAAAUUUGAAAGGGGAUUUAAACAGGGGAAAGGGCAGUAGUGUGAAUGGGUUGGCUGUUGAGUUUCAUAUCUCUGAAUAUAAUGAUUACUCUGAUUUGUCUACUCUAUUUAUGAACCAUUCUCUUUUUAGUUAUUAUUUUCUGUCUGAGUUCUGUUUUUCAAACCAGAAUAAGGACUGAGAAUUAAAUCAACUUGAAUUACCCCAGUA